GUCGAGCGCACUCUUUUAGAGUGAGCGGCAAACGGGUGAGUAACGCGUGGGAAUCUACCCCUCUCUACGGAAUAACACAGAGAAAUUUGUGCUAAUACCGUAUACGUCCUAUUGGAGAAAGAUUUAUCGGAGAUGGAUGAGCCCGCGUUGGAUUAGCUAGUUGGUGAGGUAACGGCUCACCAAGGCGACGAUCCAUAGCUGGUCUGAGAGGAUGAUCAGCCACACUGGGACUGAGACACGGCCCAGACUCCUACGGGAGGCAGCAGUGGGGAAUAUUGGACAAUGGGGGCAACCCUGAUCCAGCCAUGCCGCGUGAGUGAUGAAGG
rnacentral:rRNA from 1 species